UACGGAGGGAGCUAGCGUUGUUCGGAAUUACUGGGCGUAAAGCGCACGUAGGCGGCUUUGUAAGUUAGAGGUGAAAGCCCGGGGCUCAACCCUGGAAUUGCCUUUAAGACUGCAUCGCUUGAAUCCGGGAGAGGUGAGUGGAAUUCCGAGUGUAGAGGUGAAAUUCGUAGAUAUUCGGAAGAACACCAGUGGCGAAGGCGGCUCACUGGACCGGCAUUGACGCUGAGGUGCGAAAGCGUGGGGAGCAAACAGG
rnacentral:rRNA from 1 species